GACGAACGCUGGCGGCGUGCCUAAUACAUGCAAGUAGAACGCACAGUUUAUACCGUAGCUUGCUACACCAUAGACUGUGAGUUGCGAACGGGUGAGUAACGCGUAGGUAACCUGCCUGGUAGCGGGGGAUAACUAUUGGAAACGAUAGCUAAUACCGCAUAAUAUUAAUUAUUGCAUGAUAAUUAAUUGAAAGGUGCAAUUGCACCACUACCAGAUGGACCUGCGUUGUAUUAGCUAGUAGGUGAGGUAACGGCUCACCUAGGCGACGAUACAUAGCCGACCUGAGAGGGUGAUCGGCCACACUGGGACUGAGACACGGCCCAGACUCCUACGGGAGGCAGCAGUAGGGAAUCUUCGGCAAUGGACGAAAGUCUGACCGAGCAACGCCGCGUGAGUGAAGAAGGUUUUCGGAUCGUAAAGCUCUGUUGUAAGAGAAGAACGGGUGUGAGAGUGGAAAGUUCACACUGGGACGGUAUCUUACCAGAAAGGGACGGCUAACUACGU
rnacentral:rRNA from 1 species